rnacentral:misc_RNA from 1 species
UGGAAGUAAAAGUCGUAACAAGGUUUCCGUAGGUGAACCUGCGGAAGGAUCAUUAAAAAAUACAUUACACAUUGUUUUUGCGAACAAAAAAAUAAAUUUUUUUAUUCGAAUUUCUUAAUAUCAAAACUUUCAACAACGGAUCUCUUGGUUCUCGCAUCGAUGAAGAACGCAGCGAAUUGCGAUACGUAGUAUGACUUGCAGACGUGAAUCAUCGAAUCUUUGAACGCACAUUGCGCCUCGAGGCAUUCCUCGAGGCAUGCCUGUUUGAGCGUCGCAUCCCCUCUAACCCCCGGUUAGGCGUUGCUCCGAAAUAUCAACCGCGCUGUCAAACACGUUUACAGCACGACAUUUCGCCCUCAAAUCAGGUAGGACUACCCGCUGAACUUAAGCAUAUCAAUAAGCGGAGGA